UCACCUGGGCCUCGGGAGAGUCCUCUCCUUUGCUUCUGGUCGGAGCAGGGCUUGCCUGGCAGAAGGCAUGCCAGAACGUGCUAGUCUUUGGAUACCAAAUAUAGAAGUCCCUGAAAUCUCUAAUGAUAAGAGCAGAGCAUGUUUUCAGGGGAUUUCUUCUGUGUGUGUAUGGCAAUGUGUAAUUUUCAAACUAAGGUAAUUGUCAGAAGGUACUGGUUUUGCUGGGGGCAGAUAAAAAGAUGAUACGAUGAACUGCGUUGAUCUUCUUUCAAGAAUUAUGUCGAUCCACUGCAAGACUUAAAAGAUCCUGAGAAUUAAAAUCAACAAUUUGCCUCUAAGAUCACCUAAAUCGAAAAUGCUAGCAAUCGCAUCCACAGGAGCUGGUUGCCAGUGGUAAGUGGUAACCACUUCUGGUCAUGGCAGCCUGGGAAGAUGCCUUGUUCUGCAAAUCGAAGCGUCAAUGCAUUCUGUUCUGUCUCACAAAUAGGGAGGUCCUUCCUGAAUUAUUUUGCAUUUCAUCCCAAAUUUGAGCUGUUCAAACUAUGCUUCAGAGACUUGCCUUCGGAGCUGUCGAAGUUCUUUUGCAGAUGAAAGCAAAGAUACUUGCUGAAGUUAGCCAGCAUGUUGAGUCUUUGAUGCUCUCUAUAUUUUGGAUUUCUAAUGAAUGUCUCAUUCUUCUGUAUGACAUAUCCAGGUAUCCUAUGCCAGAUCAAGGUCAUGAAUAACACCAGGAGUCUCCAGAAAACUUCUCUGUCCUUGCAGCUCUCUGAAAAGGCCCUGCUUUUGCACUGAAUUCAUAUUGAUCCUUAUCGUCAUCUGUGGAGGAGUUUUCCUUGUUUUCGUUGUUUACUCAUCAAAGCCUGCAUGAGCUGGGACAUUACUUAGAAUUUGGGCUUUUUUGUGACUGCUAAUUAAGAUUAAAUAGUUCAGGCGUGGGAACACAUCCUGUACAAACUGAAUGAAAAUAUACAAGAUCAUUGAUUUCUAAUUUGCAGUUGUAUUAUAGGACCUACUAGUUAGCCAGCUUUUAAUCUCUUUACUGUGUCACGUUGCUUCAGAAUCAGUUUAGUUCCCAAAUCGACGUGUCAGGCAGUAACCAAGUGCGAAGCACUGCAGAGCUUUUAGUAAAUUGUGUCAGCACCGUCUCUUUUAAAACCAAACUCGUUCCAUUGUUUUUCCCAGGGUUGAUGACACAAUAACAGGCUUAUGAUUUGAUUACUUAUACUUUGAAAAUAUUGGUACGGGACUGGCGUUUCUCCAACCCUCUGCAGCUUUCCUGGUUUUCAAAGCCUUAUUAAAAAUUGAUAUUGAUGGCCAAGAUGGCUUUUCAGCUGCCACGGUACAGAACAAUCCCUCGAGAACAGGUUGCGUAGCCAACAUCUGUGAAAGGGGAGACCUUUGCUCUGCAGCUUAGGAGAGUUAAGUUACCCACCCCUGCCCCCAAAUCGGAAAGGGGGGCAGAGGCUCAUGCAAAGGGGCAUGACUUUCGUGAAAUCUCAUUGCUGGUGAGCACCAAGCACCCCGAUGUGACCAGAAACAGACGAGCCGUCUUGGUAGCUCCCUUUUAAACAGAAGAAUGCAAAAAGACUUGAAAUUACAAAAUGUAGUUUCUCGUUCUUUGUGGGAUGGCCAAAGAGCACUGGGCCCUUAACCAUUGCUUGAAGGGGAAGGCCAGCAAAUUCACACGUUUUUGUUUACUGUUGCAGCUGUGGUUUAUUCCUUCUCCCAUCUUCAGGCCUGGUUUGCCCUCUUGGUCCCUGUGCAUUUGCUGAGCUUCCAGCAGCGCGUGCUCUGGGACAGAAAGCGCUCAAGUAAUGGCCUCGUCACGUAACGCGCUCCGAGUUAUGUAAUCAAGUGCUUCACAGGGGCUUGAAACUGCCGGUGCACAGAGGAGAAAGCACUAAAUGAAAUGCCUUUGGAAGACAACAAUGAAUUAGGACAUCUAUUAAAUAUUUCAUCUCUUGAGUGUUCUCAAGCCCAGGAGCACCCCAAGCAGUAUAAAUCUGAGAAUUCAUGGUCUUAAAAUGAGGAAGCAACGGAUGAGGAGACCAUUAUGAGGUAGAUAUACAAGGAGCUGUACCUCUUUCCUCCUUUUUUUUUUUUUUUUUUUUUUUUAAGGCAGCAGCAGGCGUUUUGUUGGCAAAGCUGACUGUGAAUCCACCUUGGGUUUAUCGAUCUCCUUUCAUACCCAGCUGAACAUGAUUCAUUUGCCAAAUGGGAGCUGUUUCGUAGCUGGGCUGAUGUGGAUGAAAGGCAUUUGACAGCCUGGUGCAACUCAGAGACGAGCAAAAUGAUUUUGGUUAAUAAAGAAUAAAUCUGCAUAAAUGGGACCUGAAAA
ensembl:lncRNA